rnacentral:tRNA from 1 species
AAUUAUAAUGGCACGUUGGCAGAAGGGUUAUGUAGCGGAUUGCAAAUCCGUUAAUUCCAGUUCGAGUCUGG